ensembl:lncRNA
UAUGUGCUCUGUUUUCUCUUUUUACAUGGAAAGAUAAAAUCCCUCAGUGCGAAAAGAGCAAACCAUGCCACGGUGAAGGCAAGGGUGAAGGCAAGGGUGAAGGCAAGGGAAAAGGACCAGGACAAGGGCAAGGUCAAGGCAAGGGUCAGGGUCAUGGUCACGGACACGGUCACGGACCUGGAAAGGAUGGAAAGGAUGGCAAAGGCAAACCAUAAUGACAAGGAGCUGAAUGAAGAGACGUCUGAAGUCUGUCUGAUGCUGUUUUUUUCUUGCACCAUGACUAUAAACUAAAACAUGUAUAAUUAUACCACAUAUGUUUGUUUUUAAUUAAAUGAUCAUCAAUAAAGUGUUUGGUAUCAAAGAAUGGCUUUUAGAAUCGUUGACUCCUUAAGCUUUGAAAUUCCAAAUAUAAAACGAAAUGAAGUAGCUGUGGCAAGGUGUGCAAGUUUACACAGCAAGAAGGUGUAUAUGCUGAAACAAUGUUAAAUCAGGAAAUAAGACCUACUUGGUUUAUGAAUGUUAUCUUUUGUAAAGAAUACUGGUUAAGCAAUACAUGCAAGGUGUAGAUUCAACCAUUAAA